CAAGCAAUCUUCUUUGAAGUCUUUAUUCAUGAUCAUGCAAUUUUUAUAAAGUACAUUGAAGGUCUCUAUAGGAGCAUCUAAAAGGAGCUGAAGCUCUUCCAAGUUAAAAAUAUCAGUAAAGUUAAUGUAAAGGCCAUCAGGAUUGAGAAGAAGAAUUAAUCUAAGAAAAGCAAUAAAGGUGACAAAUUCAAAAAGGACAGUAAAAGAUUAAGCCAAAAGAGGGACCAGGGCAAGAAGCAGACCAACAUGACUCAAAAAAAAUUUUGUGAUCACUACAAUAGUUCGGGACACAUCAAGAAGAAGUGUUUAAAACUUCACCCUAAGUUGCAUCCCAAG
rnacentral:lncRNA from 1 species